UUGGGAGAGCGUGUGUAAAGAGUGUUAGAUUUGAUUGUGUUGGUUUGUACAUGUCCGUCUUUGUACACAGGUAUAAUGAUCAUAUUAGAACAUCACACCUAGAAGGACCCCUUUAAAUAUACAAUAUACUGUAGAUUUUAAUUAGACAGAAUAAAAUUGGUUUUGUAUAGAUGCGCGUGUACAUCUGCAUAUAACGUAUUUGUGUUGUUUUCGAUUCCUAUCGGUUUUCCGCCUUCAAUAAUUCUGCAUACCACAAUCUCGUAUCAGAAAGCAAGUCCGUCUGUGUCUACGCUUGGCUUUUUGCAAAUCUGUUAUUGGUAAAAGGAAAGAAGCAUUGUUUUGAUUCAAAGAGCAUUCUUUUUUUUAGUCCUGAUGUAGCGUCCCGGCCCGAAACGUCGUCUGUUUAUUCUUUUCCAUCGACGCUGCCCGACUUGCUGAGUUCCUCCAGAAUUGUGUUUGUUACUCAGGACUCUUGUUUCCGUUGCCUUGUUUCACUUUAGAUACUAUCCUUCUGCCUGCAUUUAAAUGAAACCACAUUUUUUAAACCCGUGUUUCGUUUUGUUUUGAACUCUGUUUUGUUGUCCUGCUCAUUUUAUUUGGCGCGGCAGCUCCCCGCUGACCGGCUGGCUGUUUAGCUGAAUUAAUUCUGUCUCAAAUGGCAGCGGUUCAUUUAUUGUAUUUGUGGAACCGAACCAGAGACACGCUUCCAAUCUCGCAUUCCAAACUUCGAGCCUGUCUGUUGACAAACACUUAACUCAUUCUGAACUCAGAUGGGACAUAUGUUCAAAUGACAGCGCUUACAGAGGCUCAGCGAUGGUAUUCGGGGGCUGGCUUUGAGGUAAUGUGACUUCAAUAUUCUCUGAAGUCGCUCGAUGCCGUUCAAAGACCUGCAAUCUUUCUCUUGCCCCGAAGUACGCGACGAAUCUGAGUGGGUGGUUUUGGACCGGGGGAGGCUUUUGCACAACAAAGUCAGGAGCUGAUAUUGAAGCGUUUAUACCCAAGGCAGACGUGAAGGAAGACUUUGGGUGGAAGAGCGUGUGUAAUAAAUGAGGGAGGAGGAAACCCAUGCAGUCACUGGGAGAACAAAUUUCAAAAGCUGUGAACAAGGAAUGAGAGAAAAAAAAACGGCUUUAUUACUACCACUAUACAACCAGAUGAGAUCAAAAAGACCUGAUUAUCAAGGAUCAGAAUUAAGGAAUGAUUACAAACAGAAGCUGGAAAUCCAAGCAACACACACAAAAUGCUGGAGGAACUCAGCAGACCAGGCAGCAUCUAUGGAAAAGAGUACAGUCGGCGUUUUGGGCCGAGGCUCUUCAGCAGGACUGUAGGAGAAAAGGUUGGAGACUACCCAGAUGAAAUAUAAGGUGUUCUUCCUCCAAUCUGAGAGCAGCCUCAUUGUGACAGCAGAAGAAGCCAUGGAUGGACAUGUAGAUGUUUCAUUUAGCUGUAUACAUGUGUAUGGUUGAAUGACAAUAAACUUCAGCAUGAACUCGAACUGGAUCAGAG